GGUCUAAUUGGUCCCAGCUGGGAACCCAGCCCACAUGGGUAAGGACAGGCACUCGUGAAAUGGCUUCCUGCUGGUCUCCAGCAGUUUGAGGAGAGUCGCUUACUGGAGUCCAGGACCUCAUGCUUGAGGGAGAAAGUGCUGAUCCUGCACCCUCUUCUUUGGGAUCCAGCGAAGGAGCAGAGGACUCCCUCUGGUGCUUUUGCUGGAGAGUGGAUCUUGAUUCAGCUGAAACUCAUGAAGAGUGGAGAGGUGAGAAGAUGAUGGACUGGCACCUACACAUAAGCUGCUGUAGGAAUGAAUGAAGGCUCUGAGGGUCAAGUGGUGAUGCAUAAGGUGUGGCUGUGUGAAUCAUUCCCCUUCUGCAGUGGAUGCAGCCAUCUCCAACAGAGCAAGCAGCUGCUGACAACAGCUCCUGAGACCUUUCUGGAGCAGUCUGGGAGAAAGUGUUUCUCACAGCCCUCAGCAAGAAGUGACUAAUUGGUGAAGUGGCUGGCUGAUUUUGUUUUUAGGACGUUGAGGUCAUGACAUAAUGGGAUGAAAUUUGAGGAUCAGAUAUUUUAGGCUGAGUUGCAAUGUCAGAAAAGCCUAAUAUAUGAACACAUUGAUAGCCCAGGUUAGAAGCAGUGGCUGAUGUUGUGACAGUACUGUCCUGUAGGAGCAGAAGGAUGAAAUGCCUAUUUUAUCCUCCACUUUGAGAUCAGGAGGAUAAGUGUUGUAACUAGAUACAAGGUCCUGAAUGGAUCUGAAAAAGAGUAGUAGUUCAAUUGUUGAAAAAACACAGUUCUGGGUUGUGUUGAAACAAACUCGAAUUCCAAAUAUGUUUAAGGACAGUGUCUUGUUUCUUCAUCUUGAAGUUAUUAAAGUACCUUGAAAAUUGGAAGAAUAAAA